GUUUCACUGCAGGCAACAGGCAUGAGCCUUCAGAACCUCUGAAUGAAGCAUGGAGAAUCCAGCAGAAACUGAAGAAGCCUGGUCUCUGUCUCCUGCUGCUGCGCGGACCUGGAAAGAGCUGCUUAUCCAACAGAAAUUCACAGUUGCAUCCCACAUAGACACAGAGGUGUCCCCAGAAAGGAAAAAUGUCCUCCAAUUCAUAGCAUUUGGAAGCAAUGGACAAACCAAUUCAGAUAAAGUAAUUUUCUCCUGGCUUUCACCAUUUUGAGUCUGCACACUGAAGAAUAAAGUCUUUGUGCCACAGCGUCGUCUCACCUAGGAAUCCAAAGGCCACAUCAGAAGGUUUAAACACGGAUCUCCCAUAAGAUAUCACGACUGUCCAACUGUAUCAUGAUGUUUCAAGAAGAGCAGACUUCUGCAUUCCCAUUCUGGCCAUCCCACAGCCCAUGCAUGUCUACUAGAACAUAUGGGAUUAAUCUCAAGCAC